rnacentral:rRNA from 1 species
ACGGCCCAGACUCCUACGGGAGGCAGCAGUGGGGAAUAUUGGGCAAUGGGCGCAAGCCUGACCCAGCAACGCCGCGUGAAGGAAGAAGGCUUUCGGGUUGUAAACUUCUUUUAAGAGGGAAGAGCAGAAGACGGUACCUCUAGAAUAAGCCACGGCUAACUACGUGCCAGCAGCCGCGGUAAUACGUAGGUGGCAAGCGUUAUCCGGAAUUACUGGGCGUAAAGAGUGAGCAGGCGGUUAGAUAAGUCUAUGGUUAAAUGCAACAGCUCAACUGUUGUUCGCUAUAGAAACUAUUUAACUAGAGUGCGGGAGAGGUAAGUGGAACUCCAUAUGUAGCGGUGGAAUGCUUAGAUAUAUGGAAGAACACCAGAGGCGAAGGCGGCUUACCAGUCCGUAACUGACGCUCAGUCACGAAAGCGUGGGGAGCAAAUAGGAUUAGAUAUCCUAGUAGUCCACGCCGUAAACGAUGAGAACCUGAUGCAGGAGAUAUUCUGUGUCGAAGCUAACGCGUUAAGUUCUCCGCCUGGGUACUACGUUCGCAAGAAUAAAACUUAAAGGAAUUGACGGGCGCCCGCACAAGCAGUGGAGCAUGGGGUUUAAUUCGUCGAUACACGAAAAACCUUACCAGGGCUUGACAUCCCGCUAAAAGCCUUAGAAAUAAGGAAAUAGUUAUAGCGGUGACAGGUGGUGCAUGGUUGUCGUCAGCUCGUGCCGUGAGGUGUUAGGUUAAGUCCUCAAACGAGCGCAACCCUUGUCUUUAGUUGCCAUUAUUAAUUUAGGAACUCUAGAGAGACUGCCGGCGCAAGCCGGAGGAAGGCGGGGAUGACGUCAAAUCAUCAUGCCCUUUAUGCCCUGGGCCACACCCGUGCUACAAUGGUCGGUACAAAGAGAAGCAACACUGUGAGGUGAAGCAAAUCCCAUAAAGCCGAUCUCAAUUCGGAUUGAAGUCUGCAACUCGACUUCAUGAAGCUGGAAUUGCUAGUAAUCGCAGAUCAGCAACGCUGCGGUGAAUACGUUCUCGGGCGUUGUACACACUGCCCGUCACACCAUGAGAGCCGGUAAUACUCGAAGUCGUUAGCCUAACCGUAAGGAGGGCGGCGCCUAAGGUAGGACUGGUGAUUGGGGUUAAGUCGUAACAAGGUAUCCCUACGAGAACGUGGGGAUG